rnacentral:rRNA from 1 species
UUUGAUCCUGGCUCAGAUUGAACGCUGGCGGCAGGCCUAACACAUGCAAGUCGAGCGGCAGCACAGAGGAACUUGUUCCUUGGGUGGCGAGCGGCGGACGGGUGAGUAAUGCCUGGGAAAUUGCCCUGAUGUGGGGGAUAACCAUUGGAAACGAUGGCUAAUACCGCAUGAUGCCUACGGGCCAAAGAGGGGGACCUUCGGGCCUCUCGCGUCAGGAUAUGCCCAGGUGGGAUUAGCUAGUUGGUGAGGUAAUGGCUCACCAAGGCGACGAUCCCUAGCUGGUCUGAGAGGAUGAUCAGCCACACUGGAACUGAGACACGGUCCAGACUCCUACGGGAGGCAGCAGUGGGGAAUAUUGCACAAUGGGCGCAAGCCUGAUGCAGCCAUGCCGCGUGUAUGAAGAAGGCCUUCGGGUUGUAAAGUACUUUCAGUCGUGAGGAAGGUUGUAGUGUGAAUAGCACUAUGAUUUGACGUUAGCGACAGAAGAAGCACCGGCUAACUCCGU